AUGGCUUACAGAAGAGAUGAAAUGUGUUCUGAGGGAUGAUAUGAAUAUGAAAGACUUCCAAGAGAACGAGCAUCUCCUUGAAGUCAUCCCAGAGAUGAAUCUGGUUAUAGAUGGACAAGAGAUGAUCAUUCUGCAAGCAGGCAACCUGAAUACAGGGACAUGAGGGAUGGCUGUAGAAGAAAAAGUUUCUACUCUUCCCAUUAUGUGAGAGAGUAUUCUCCUCAUAAAAGGGACAAUGGUUUUUUCAGAGAAUCACCUGGUGACCGAAAGGAUUCUCCACACAGCAGAUCUGGCUCCAGUGUCAGUAGCAGAAGCUACUCUCCAGAAAGGAGCAAACCAUACUUUCCAUCAGUCUCAACAUAGAAACAAAGUGAGGCCUAUCCAGUCUUUGAAAACAUCAAGAGACACUUCACCCUCGAGUGCUUCAGCAGCUUCUUCAUCAAAGGUGUUAGACAGACCCAGCAGGCUAACUGAAAAGGAACUUGCUGAGGCUGCAAGCAAGUGGGCUGCUGAAAAGCUAGAGAAAUCAGAUGAAAGUACCUUGCCUGAAAUUUCUGAGUGUGAGGCAGGAUCCACAGCACCAUUAUUUACUGACCAGUCAGAGGAACCUGAGUCAAACACAGCAGAUGGCAUAGAAUUAUUUGAAGAUAGUCAGCUAAACAGUCUCUCUAAAGCAAUAGCAUCAAAAACCAAAGAGAUUGAACAGGUUUACCAAUAAGACUGAAACUUUCGGGAUGGUGGUGAAAAUGCUGAU